AGAGAAAGGAGAAGCAGCCUGAGGUCGCUGACCUAGACUCCUGACUCCCACGAGUGGGAUGUGCUGUGGUCCAAUCGGAAGAGAGAGCCUCUUUUAAUUGCGUGCAGCAGGAAGAAUUGGGGUCCAGCGGGUGAACUCGCAAGGGAUGUAGCGGGGCUGAUGGACAGGAGACUAAAGAAGUCUCUGGGUAAUGCAUAGCCGGCUACCCACUUGAAAGACUCUUGUCUCAACGCAAGCUUGUCUGCUUCGUAGUUCACAACGUUCCUCAGAAGUAAACAUGAACGCAGGACUUCUCAGUAGCCCUUCCAGGUCGCCUGAAAGCAGCGCACCUGGGAAGCCUGAAGACAGCCGGGGGGCUUCUCCAGCCUCUGGCUCACAAGAUUUGGGACAGACUGACAGAGAAGACAAUGAGAUGCUGGCUUACUGAUGUGCUUGCUCGCUUUCUCUUGGGGGUCGGGAGUGUGGGGAAAAUGGGCUCCCUCCCCCACCCCAGCAUUGCUGUGCCGAGCAACAUUUUAUACCAGCUGAAUUUUUGUACUAACUGGUCUAUAUUGUGAAGGGAAAUCAUGAAAGAGCACUUUUCACACGGCUGUCUUUUUACAUUAUUCUAUGUGGCCUCCCAUUUCUUCUGGAGGAAUCUAGGGCACGUUUUAUCGCUUUUCCUGUCACCUUCGGGUGUUAACAAGCGGUCUGACUGGCUGUUAUUACAAAGUCCAGUCCAAUCUAAAUCAAACUUUAAGCUCAUUUCAUUUAAGCCUUCGCCCCUCCCUUCCCCUAACUCACAAACCCCAGCCUGACUUAAACCUAGAAAGAUAGUAAAGCCUCCUUUGUGCCAUUCACUUUCCUAUUUGGGUGCUCUGUGAAGCCCAUGCCUCCCAGGUGCAAGGAAUGAGGUCCUGGCGCUACAGCUCCUUCCUCGGGCCACUCCCACUCCUCCAGGGACUCAUCCCACCCCCACCCCCAUCCCACAGGCAGACCUGACCAUCUUCCACCACAUCGGCUGACAGUGUUCAUUAAACUCUCUACAGAAGCUCUGGUUAGCUUCUUCCUUGAGCCUCACACUCCAGAUGACAGGCACCAGCUUCUUCAACACAUUUCUUCUCAGGCACACAGUGAGUGAGCCCUUCCUCCUCGCCCCGCUGGUACCCUGCCAAUCUCACUGCUGAGCCAACAGAAUGCCUUCCUAGCAAGGACCACCGAAAAGACCAAUACCUCUAGGCCAUUGUGUACCUGCCUGUCUCCACGGCAGCACAAGGCAAGGCACUGAGAUCAUGGGAGUAGAAACAGCUAAGGCAUACAACUGUGACUCCUUGGGCUCUGCCAGGAAAACAAAGAGGAUGCCAGCAUCUUGCUGGCUUUCUCUACCUUACUUCUUUGAUUGUGUCAGGGUCCCUGGCCCCAUAGCACCGUGCUACUCAUACACUCAAGGGAAGUCCUCCCUCUCAGAGAACCCUCUCUGGAGAUGUCCUCACAGACACUUCCAAAGUCACCAGUCUCCUAGGUGAUUCUAAAUUGUCAAGUUGACAAUGAAGAUUAAUGGUUACAAAUGGUGUGGCCCUGUUGGAAGAAGUGUGUCACUGUGGAGAUUUUGAGGUCUCUUAUGCCCAAGCUAUGCCCAGUGUAGAACACAGUCUCCUGCUGCCUGUGGAUCAAGAAAUAGAACUCUCAGCUCCUUCUCUAGCACCAUGUCUGCGUACAUGCCACCAUGUUUCCCACCAUGAUGAUAAAGGAUUAAAUCUCUGAAACUGUACACCAGCCCCAAUGAAAUGAUUUCCUUUAUAAGAGUUGCCAUGGUCAUGGUGUCUCUUCGCAACAAUGAAACCCCAAGACACCCCCAUCGGUUCAUAUUUAAAUGCUUGGCUCCCUGUUGGUAGAGUGUUUGAAAGGGUUAGGAGGUAUGGCCCUGUCAAAGGGGAUGUGUUACUGAGGUGGGCUUUGAUGUGCUAUCUGUUGCCUAUGGAUCAGGAUGUAGAACUCUCAGCUGCUUCACCAGCACCGUGUCUGCCUACAUGCUGCCACGCAGCCCACCAUGAUGAUAAUGGACUAAUCCUUUGACAUUGUAAUCAAGCUUGCCUUGGUCGUGUCUCCUCACAGCAAAUGAACAGUGACUAAGACAGACGGGAAAAGAAAAUAUGCACUAUCCAGACCCCCGCUGAAGGCACAGGCUUACCCUCAGAUGAUGUCAUGAGGAUACCUAAGAAUCUCAUAGAGGCCUCUCAAGAUGAUUAUUUCAAAGUUACCAGGCUGAGCAUUGACUUUGCUUCAGGGUCCUAUUCUCUAUUGAUAGGGAAUGUCUUUGGGCCUUGAAGUCCCCAUAUCUUCCAGGGCUUUAGAAAAACAGGCAGCAUCGUGGUGCAUCUGAAAGACCCACAACAUGAGGACUCCCCCACGUUCUAACUCAGUAGAGGCGACACCCCAAAAUCACCAACGAGAAACGGUCUUGCUGCAAAUUGCAAGAGGAUUUUUAUUCAANNNNNNNNNNNNAAGAACAUCCUUUGCAUCAAGAAUUCCAGAUCAUGUGUCCCGCGGUCUUUCUAGGCUUCUCAUCCUGACCCAGGCAGGUCUGCAGUGGAGACAUUCUUGUUUGACGACAGAGCAGCACAUGCCUGAACCAUCCCCCAAAUUCCUGGGACAGUGUUUCCAACAAGGACUCUGGUCUCAGUCCCUCUGCCACCAGCAACCGGCUACCUGCAAGUAGGCAACCUCUCCUCCUAAGGAACGAAAGCAGAGCCCGGCACACCGCUGCCUCGGGACACACUUCCGAGCUCCGACAGCGUUGCUUGGUGCUUCUCCUCCCAGGGUUCAUUGCACGAGAUUGUUAAACACUUUCUGUCCAUACCUCCUCCCUCCACAGAUGGAUACUGGAUACAGCUCUUUAGCCCCGCCUGGGAUUUAUCCUUGGUGAAAGGAUAAGAUGCCUUGCCCGCAAGACCCAGCACAGAGCACUUUGACCAGGUUCUGCCUCCGCGAUACACGUUUCCCCUGCAGGUCAGCUUCUCUUUAUAUCUGAGACGGCUCUGCCUUUGUUUCUGGUGAAAAACCAUGCAAAACCUCAUAAAACCCUCAUCCUAGACAUAAGGCAAAUCCCCCUAGGCAAUUAUGCUUGCCACAGCUGAAUCACCCGG
ensembl:lincRNA Gm15721 predicted gene 15721